UAACAGGCCCAAACAAAGACACAGUUAUUGAGCCUCUUUCAGCUUUCUGCCAACCAGUCCAGCGUUGGAAAGAACAUUUCCAUCCUUCAUCAUUACACAGCAGGUGGAAAACUUUGUGGGAAACGCGCUGAGCUCAGUGGACACGGCCUCUCCAAGAUCAGCUGUGACGACUACCAGGCCAUUCUGUCCUUUGUAAACACUGACAGAGCCACUGGAAGCUGCUGCUCACUGAUACUUUCUGCAAACAUCACUUUAUAUUAACUCUGUUUAUAUGAUUCAUAAAGUUGUUCUGAGUCUUAUUAUGUGCUUUAUAAAAGCUUUUUUCUAGUAUAUAUUUCCUGCCAUAAGAUGAGUGUUUUUGGUGGAUCCAGCAUCUGAUUCAUCUGAGGAGGCAGCAAAAAGAGUCGACACAUUAGAUAUCACGUCUCAGUAAAAAUGAUGAUUGAUUUGGCUAAAAAGA